CGUCCAUGCCGUGCUGAGGGAGAUGAGUGCUUUGCUGGCUGAUCAGAGAGCUGAGCUCAGACAUGUGGUGAACGACCUGGAGAAGCUGAGGACUACAUUUGAGGCUCAGUCCAUCCAUCUAAAUGCAGCUGUGGAAGAACUGAGAGGGGAAAGUGAAGCUCAGUCCAUCCAUCUAAAUGCAGCUGUGGAAGAACUGAAAAGGGAAAAUAAAGAACAGCCAGUGACUGGACAAUCUGUGAACUGAGAGGGAUGGGAAGAAUGCACCCAGGAAGCAGUACAAUCUGGACCUGAAUCCAUGGUCAUGACUUUAUCCCACAAAGAUUAAGAGUCAGCAUCCACAGAAGUGAGUAAAUUACUGCAAAUACUAUUUGUUAUUUUGUCAAUUUGUUUGUUUAUGUCUUGGUGUCAUGGAUAUGCUGGCGAUUGUGUCAAUGUCUUG